GGUGAUGUAGCUCAGUGGUUAGAGCAUACGACUCAUAAUCGUAGGGUCAUAGGUUCAAAUCCUAUCAUCACCA
rnacentral:tRNA from 1 species